UAUUUCUACGUUUCUGAAAAUGUCAUCUGUCAAAAUGUGUCAAAUUACAAAGAUUACAAACAACUUUGUCUUUAGUGAUUAAUUAUAAAUAUCGUGCAAGAAUAAUUUAUUUAUCUAGUAAAUAAUGUUGACGAAAGUGCAACGGAAUAAGAAAUAAUAUGUAAAUAUAAAUAUAAUUCUUUUUCUCCAAAAGUAAACAUGUGCCAAACGUGAUAAAAGUUAACCUCUCUCAGGGAAAACCGUGACUUUUAUUCAUAAUUUUCGAUUUUUUAAUUAUUUCUCUAUAGUUUAGAAAAAAGAAAGAAACAAGAAGAAUACUAAGAGAUUAAAUAUAGAGAAAAAAUGAUUUACAGUGAAUUUUAAAACAUUUUUUGUUAUUUUAGUUGCAAAUAUAAAUAUAGGUUAAGUUUGAAAUCUUCUAAUAUAUAUUUAUCAAUAUGAAAGAGGUUUUGAAUUCUCAAUCUUCCUCGGGUUUUAAUAAUCAUUUUGCGAAUAAUAAUGGUGACACGAGUAAUGCAAGUUCAAAUAGUGUUGUGAAUGGAGAAAAUACAAGAAGAUAUGCGGUAUUAAGUACAGAAUGGGUUUCGGCAAUUGGCGAAGAAUUGGGAAUGCAUCCACUGCCAGAUCCUCUUCUACGGAGACUUGCAGAAGAUGCUUCUUAUCGUUUACGAGAUGUUUUGCACAAAUGUGUAACUAGACUUAGGCACAGUAAACGAAGACGUUUAACAUCGAAUGAUGUGAAUGCUGUGUUUACAAAUUUAUGUGAUAUUGAUCCAAUAUUUGGAGCUCCCGAGCAAAUGCCGGAAUAUCACACUGAAGCUGCGGUAUUUGUUCCUCAUGAGCACAUUAUAGAAUUACCGCAACAAGUUAAUAAUCCACAGAGAAUUGAACAAAUACUUCCUCCUUUACUACAGGAAACGGAGAUUGCUGACGCUCGCCUUCGGGAAGCUCGUGAUAAUUAUGCAAAACGAGCAAUAAAAACGAUUUUUAAUGGAUCUCAGAAGACGUUUCAGGUCCUCUUGAAUGAUUGUGCAACUAAUGCUAAUUUAGGUGGUUAUGGCGUUGUGGAUAAAUUAAUGUCUAUUGCAAGAGCCAUGGUGAUUGCAAACAGUACUCAUUACACUCGUAUUUCGAUGCGUACUUGUCAGCUUAUUAUUGCAGUCGCCAGCAACAGUGAAGCUGUUUAUCCCUAUCACCUAGUUUCUGUGGAUAAAUUAACAGAAUUGUUGAUUGAACUUCCCGAUGGUUAUAUACACACAAAUAUGGAAGUUUUAUUCAAAGAAUGCGCUUUCAAAUUAAUGCUUCGUUGGCCUUCCGCAGCUGAUAGAUUCAUUCCAGUUUUGGAAGGAAUGCUUCGUCAGGAGGUGAAAGAUAGUUUUGAAUCAAGGAGAAAAAAAUUAAUGGCUAUGGAAUUGAUCGCAGGCGUUCAACCUCUAUUGUUCUUCCAACAAGAAAAUAAUUCACCGCUUUCUCUAGAAAAUGUUCUGUCAUUCGCGACACCUGCUUCUGUUUUGUGGCUUCGCUUAGCCAUUGCAGUUAGCGCUUUCGUGAAAACAGGUAAUCAGCCUUUUAAUUAUUCUGUGAUUUAUGAUCAUUAUGGCGACUCUAUAUUGUCGUAUAUGGUGACGAGAAACGAGAAUCAAGGGGAGCGUAAGGAACCAGUUAAUCUCCCAAUGAUUGUGAGAAGUAAAAUUAAUACUGUUAAUGUCAGGCCGAUUCGAUUUAAUAAAAUCUGCCCGGACAGACAUUCCGUAUUUCCCGAUUCAAUGCUGCAAGGCAGACAUGAAAUUAGAUUUGCAUUCGCUGGCGGACGUCCUGUACCACCAGAUAAUCUGAAACGAGCAAGUUUACGCGCUGAUUAUGAAUUUUUAAGAAGUGAAGUGCCUGCCACAGUCGCUCUUGUUGCGUCUAGAAGACUGCUUAUAUUUAAAAACAAAAGGAAAAAUUUCUCAGAUGCUUACAACUUAGGAAAUAUUCAUCUUUAAAUAAUAUUCAAAAAUCUGACAAUAGGUUCCUAACAAAAAGUUAACAAUCAUUAAGACACUUAUUGGAAAUCAAAGACAGUCCUCGAGGCCAUUUGGCAAUUCUGAUUUUGGCAAACAAUGAGAAUUCGACAGGCAUGUAAGUCGAGUGUGGAAUCGAAUAGGUACCUAUUGCAAAAAAUAGAACAUUUUUUUAAU